rnacentral:rRNA from 1 species
CACGUAGGGCGCAAGCGUUGUCCGGAAUUAUUGGGCGUAAAGAGCCCGUAGGCGGUCUGUUGCGUCCGCUGUGAAAACUCGGGGCUUAACCCCGAGCCUGCAGUGGAUACGGGCAGACUAGAGGUAGGUAGGGGAGAAUGGAAUUCCCGGUGUAGCGGUGAAAUGCGCAGAUAUCAGGAGGAACACCGAUGGCGAAGGCAGGUCUCUGGGCCAUAACUGACGCUGAGAAGCGAAAGCAUGGGGAGCGAACAGG